CUUGGUUGAAUGCAUCGUGCAUCGAUCGAUUUGGCGCAAUCAUUCCUACUUCAAUCAUUCCUUGAAUAGACUUGUUGCUGGCUUGCAUGUCUUGUGCGGCGGCCGAUGUUCGCACGUCGUUCUCUAGGCAUUUUGGACUAUGGACAGAGUGUUGAAUUUAACUUCAAAUGCACGAUCCACAUAAUUUACACUGAGCUUAAAUGAAAUUAACUGAGCAGAGAAUAAUGACUAUCUGUCACACACUUUAUCACGCACCGUUGCUAUUGGUUUGAAGUACA